rnacentral:lncRNA from 10 species
GUGCUCGUAAUUUGGAGAAUCAAAAUAAUAAAGUUAGAAGGGACAAGAAGAAACCAUUUGGCAGUUAAGCAAUUAAGCCAUCCAGGAGAUAGAGUGAGUUAUCCUUUUCUGGAAGCGGCUCAUCCAUGACUAAAGUGCACAGCUUUUCACCUGUCAAAACCAGUAGGCUUCAAAUCUCCUCACCAGACUAUAGAACCCAGUUAGGCUCUUUGACAGACAGCAGCCUAUUGCUCCUUAUUACAAUUCUUACAGGGCCUCCUCACCAUCCCCCACCAUGCAGAUUGCACAAGUCACCACCUGCACAGACAGGCAACUCUCUCUGCACACCAAGCUGGAUUUCUGUUUCCUCAGCUGUAAAAUGUGGAUAACAACCAGAUCUGCCUCAUGAAGACCCUGUGAGAAUUAAACAAGAUGAUGUGUGCAGAGUACAGAAGUCAGUGAGCCCAGCAUCUACAAGUGACUAUGUGAAUUAGUGGUUAUUAUGGCUACGAUUGUGCCUGCUGCUGCUAAAGUCAAACGUUUUUUUCCUUUCAUAACUGAACAUAGCAGGAUUUGCAUUUGUGGAAGAUGGUACCAAGGUACCUAUCUCUCUGAAAGUCAAAUAAAGAGAAAAAUAAAAAAAUGUCGAUUCAUCUUCAUUACAUUUUGCCCUAAAAAUUUACUACUUGUUUUUUG